GACGAAGGAUGCAAGCGUUAUCCGGAUUCAUUGGGUUUAAAGGGAGCGUAGGUGGCCUUACAAGUCAGUGGUGAAAUCUCUGGGCUUAACCCAGAAAUUGCCAUUGAUACUGUAGGGCUUGAGUAUAGAUGCCGUUGGCGGAAUAUGACAUGUAGUGGUGAAAUACAUAGAGAUGUCAUAGAACACCGAUUGCGAAGGCAGCUAACGAAACUAUAACUGACACUGAGGCUCGAAAAGUGUGGGGGAUCAAAACAGG
rnacentral:rRNA from 1 species